CCGAGUUUGUGAUCGGCCCUUGUAGUCAACCGUCAUUUUGCAAUGAAGACGAAGAGCGUGCCUGUCCCUGUAGAGGGGUAUUUGUGAUCCUUCUUUUGGAUCUACGGAAAGAGAACUAGGCAGAUUUCACGCAAACCCCAACUGCUGCAGCCCAGAGACCGCAGGUACCCGCUCGCUUUACCAAACCGGAGCCAAGCCUAGUGCUGGCCCGACUGGCACCAAGGACUACUGCUGAUCGUGAGGUGGGGACAAAGGACUCUCUAAACAGACAGAGCAUUGGGAUAAAACUUACUGCUUCGGCCCUCACCACUAAAAUCUUGCUUCUGAUUUGUAGUCUCCCCUCUGCAUUACAUGGUAUCCACUACAAAGCCCAGUCCAGCUUCUGCUGGUUUGAAGAUGAACAGUCUGCUUUCAAGGGGCACAGCCUUG